UGUCAGGAGGCUGACCUGGACCAUACCAUGCGUGGUGAAGCAUGUGUAACAAAUGUUCGCACAUUUGGAGUACUGUGCCGGGAAGAGGACGUGCUGUCCCCGAAGGAUGUCCGAGCUGAAGGAUGUCCGAGCUGAAGGAUGUCCGAGCUGAAGGAUGUCCGAGCGGAGACACCGGAGCGUCCUGUCAACAGCAGAUAAACACUACUUCACCUAAGAGACUUGUGUAUCCAGUUCUUCGUUGACCUUCAGCAUUCAGUUGUUUGUCUUCACCUUUUCAGGUAAGCAAUUUUUUAAAAAUGCUUUUGUAAUGUUGAGAAACACUGAAAUUAUUAUUCAUAAAGAACUUUCAACCACUGUUCUGUGAUGUCAUGUAUAGUGAUAUACAAAUAUAUCUGAAGGAAAGGUGUAUUUGGGAUAAUCAAUAUUAUUAGUAUUAUUCAUGUAUUUAUUCAUUUUUAAAUCAGAGAAUGGGGGAAAAUAGAUUAUUAGUACAAAAACUAGUAACUAGUAAAAAAAAAUUGGUAACAAUAAUGUUCAUUCAUUAAUUGACGCUUGGUCAAACUCUCAUCUAAUUAAGUAUUGCUGUCUCAUUAAUGUAUUAAUGUAUUUAUUUAUUUUGUAGGCUAAAACCUGAGAAGCCAUCACCAUGUUGUUGUUUCACAUCAGAAUAAGUAUUUCACAUGAUGCAGAUAUUUCAGCAUGUGGUCCUCAAUAUAUAGUAUAGAAGUCACUGUAUUUUCUGACUUUUCCAGGUUUCCUGUGUCCAGCAUCUUCAAGACAGACUAAGCUAACUUUUCAUAUUUUUUGCACAUUUAUAUUUAGGUUAGGUUAGGAGUAGGUUUGGUUUAUAGUAGAGUAUUUAGUUUGUAUAGUUUAGCUUUUUAUGCUGGUCUAGGGACAGUUAAGUUAGCAAAUUAAUUUAGUUCAGAUCACUUACAGUUGCAUAUUAUUGUUCCAAUUGUGUUAUUUUGUGAGUUAUUGUUGUACAGGCUAUUGUAUAUUGCAGGACCAAGUGAGACGAGGAAGACCACUGCUUCCAAGACGCCGCGCUCAGAAAGUGCGUUGGACAAGUCUCGACCUUGCAGAUCCUGCCCCACUUAGCCCAACCACUUCCGGCCAUGGGGUACCUCAAAGACCUCCGUCAACCAGCCGGCUGUGGAUGAUGGAUAACGCACCCACAACUCCUUCUCCAGUCUACAAGGUUCUGAAAAUACAGACACCCCCACAGUCCAAGAACAGCUGGAUGACCUCUGGACCCACUUGCCCCCGUUCACCAGUUGAAAAGAUAGGCUUUUUAAAAAAUUCUUUAAUUGUUAAUUCUGCACAAAGUGAUACACAAAACAUUGUAUGUCUUCCAUUUCAACAAACACAAACAUGAAAUGUAUAUUUAAAUACAUAACUUAAUGCAAAUCAAUCAUACUAAACAUCUUCUUUUUUUUUUAAACCAACCAUUGCACGCACUUCCAUCCAAGGAGAGGUUACAUCAUGAUGGUGGGAUGAAGUACAGUUAAGGGCAGCAUUCUGUGUGUGGUGAAGUGAAGAAAUGACUCCUCUGAGUUUCGGCUGGGAUGGGAGACGAGAGGAGAGGGCGUCCCCCAGGUAUGCAGGCCACCUGUUGCUGAAGGAGAGAGAGAGAAACAGAAACGAUACACAUUCCUGUUGCCAUGAAAACUUUCACUCUAAGUUUGGAGGAGGGAGGGGGGGGGAGACAAAAGGCAUCCCCUGGUUGCUUCCUCCUCUCUCUGUUUCUGUUUUUCAUUGUUUUGAGACUCAGAGACUCAGACCAGGUCUUCCCUCUUGGCACCGACCCACACAGAAACCAUUUGGGAUUCCAAAGGGCAUACCGAGAAACACCACAUCUAGCACAAUGACAUGUGGAAGAUAACAUUUAUUCAACUGACACUUCGAAACUUGGCCUUACACAAUGGAUAAAAAUGUGUCCGCAACUGAAAUUUUGAAUUUCCAUUUGGGUUCUUUGGGUUCUCCUAAGCACAAACUUGAGACAUUUUGAAAUAUUAUUCAUACCAUUGGGCUGAAAAUUGAGAUUUUCUUAUCACACUAUACAUCUUGCUAUGUGCCCAUAGACUAAACACAGCAUAAUAAGAAAAAGGUUGUAUCUCUAUAACUAUCUAUCUACUACUUUGUAUUGAUGAAUGCAUAACAAGUUGAAUAUCACACAUAUGCAGUGUAAAACAUAUUUCAUAUGGAGAACAAUGUUGGUGUUCCUGUUCUGACAUUCACUAUUACUAAAACUGUGAUUUUUCAUGUGAGCUAAUUUUUUUAUAAAAGUGUAUCCGUACCAGUUUCCAAGACUUUUGUGUCUUGAAUGUUGUGGCAUUUUAGCUUGUCAUAUACUUAAUAAAGUCACUGUGCACAUUGUUAA